GACGAACGCUGGCGGCGUGCUUAACACAUGCAAGUCGAACGAAGUGGCGAACGGGUGAGUAACGCGUAAUCAACCUGCCCUUCAGAGGGGGACAACAGUUGGAAACGACUGCUAAUACCGCAUACUGAAGGAGGGGAUUUCGUCUGAUUAGCUAGUUGGGGGGGUAACGGCCCACCAAGGGGAUGAUCAGUAGCCGGUCUGAGAGGGGGAACGGCCCAAUUGGGAAUGGGAAACGGCCCAACAUGCUCAGGGAGGGAGGAGUGGGGAAUCUUCCGAAAUGGACGAAAGUCUGACGGAGCAACGCAGCGGGAGUGAUGACGGCCUUCGGGUUGUAAAGCUAUGUUAAUCGGGACGCGGUACCGGAAUAGAAAGCCACGGCUAACUACGUGCCAGCAGCCGCGGUAAUUC
rnacentral:rRNA from 1 species